AGUAAAUUGGUUAAGUUAGAAAGGGCGCACGGUGGAUGCCUUGGCACUAGGAGCCGAAGAAGGACGGGACUAACACCGAUAUGCUUUGGGGAGCUGUACGUAAGCGUUGAUCCAGAGAUUUCCGAAUGGGGGAACCCACUAUCUUUAGUCGGAUAGUAUCCUUACGUGAAUACAUAGCGUAAGGAAGGCAGACCCAGGGAACUGAAACAUCUAAGUACCUGGAGGAAGAGAAAGAAAAAUCGAUUUCCUGAGUAGCGGCGAGCGAAACGGAAAGAGCCCAAACCAAGAAGCUUGCUUCUUGGGGUUGUAGGACACUCUAUACGGAGUUACAAAAGAAAGUUAUAAAUGAAGCGGUCUGGAAAGGCCCGCCAAAGACGGUAACAGCCCGGUAGUUGAAAUGGCUUUCCCUCCAGAGUGGAUCCUGAGUACGGCGGAACACGUGAAAUUCCGUCGGAAUCCGGGAGGACCA
rnacentral:rRNA from 1 species